rnacentral:rRNA from 1 species
GGUGAGUAACACGUGGAUAACCUACCUAUAAGACUGGGAUAACUUCGGGAAACCGGAGCUAAUACCGGAUAAUAUUUUGAACCGCAUGGUUCAAAAGUGAAAGACGGUCUUGCUGUCACUUAUAGAUGGAUCCGCGCUGCAUUAGCUAGUUGGUAAGGUAACGGCUUACCAAGGCAACGAUGCAUAGCCGACCUGAGAGGGUGAUCGGCCACAAUGGGACUGAGACACGGCCCAG